UGGAAACGCUGACUCCGACUAACUUUCAAUCAAAGCAAUGAGGUCAGUUAAUUAAGCCACGCCCCUAAAUAUGCGAAAGUGUGUAAUAUGUGUGUGUGUAGUAAGUUUGGGUAUUAUUUUAUCUUAAUGUCCAAUGUGCAUAUAGAAGUACAUGAGCUACAUAUCCGAACAUGUUUCUGAAAGUGCUUUUUAAUAUGGAUUCUAAUGGGAUUCUUUACUUUUGCAGACAGCCUCAAGUGGACACUAGAGGAACUGCAGCUUCUCUUGUCAUCUGCUGAGUUUACAGCUUCUGCACACCCACACCAGCUUCCCACUGAGCAUUUUUUGGUCUAAAGAGGUCUAAUAGACGUCUAAAUGUAGUCUAGACGACUGGUCUAAAAUCAGGCUAACACAGGUCUAAAAAUGAAAGUUUUUUAGACGUCUAAAUUUAGACCAAGUCUAAAUCUGGGCUAUAUCCAUACUACACUGUAUAUUGCUCAA